ACAUACGACCAUAGGGUGUGGAAAACAGGGCUUCCCGUCCGCUCAGCCGUACUUAAGCCACACGCCGGUGAGUUAGUAGUUGGGUGGGUGACCACCAGCGAAUCCUUACUGUUGUAUGUU
rfam:Penicillium freii strain DAOM 242723 scaffold_191, whole genome shotgun sequence.